rnacentral:lncRNA from 1 species
GCACCCCUCCAUCCCUCCAUCCCUGCACCCCUCCUUCGUUGUACCCCUCCAUCCUCCAUCUCUGCAUCCCUGCACCCCUCCAUCCUCCAUCCCUGUACCCUUACAUUCUCCAUCCCUGCAUUCCUCCAUCGCAGCAUCCCUGCAUGCCUCCGUUCUCUGCAUCCCUCCACCCCAGUAUCCCUGCACCUCUUCAUCCCUCCAUUCCUGCAUCCCUCUAUUUUUCCAUCCCUCCAUUCCUGUAUCCCUGUGCCCUCCAUCCUCCAUCCCAGCAUCCCUCCAUCCCUGCUCCCCACUCUCACUUCCCUUCCCUUCACAGACAGGCUUUUCCUGCCAUCCUCAGACCCCACCCAGGGUUACCUGAUGCCUUUCCAGCUGCACACGGGGACUGACUCACCUCUCUCUUUCUCAGUCCCAAAGUCCCGAAAGAGAGCAUCUGAUGUGGUCAGCUUGUGACAAGGCGUCCACCUUCUGUCCAUGACAUGGAGGCCAGGGGAAGGUCUCACUGCCCAGCACCCCACCCUGUGCUCCCAGGCCUUUUGAAUGUUCCUCCUGCUCAGCCCAGUGACUGCGGGCUGUGGCUCCUCCUCCAGCCUCCCCUCGAGAAGGAGAUCCGGUUGGCAGCUAAACCGCGCUGGGAACAGGGGCCUGAGUCCUGGACUAGGGCUCUUUCCCCGGGGCUGCUGCAGAUGGGGAGGAGCCUACACCCGCCUCCCGAGUGCUAAUCAGACCUGACAGGCUGGAGAAUGGCCAGUCAGCCUGAGGCCACCGCGGGACACCACCUAGGCCCAGCUUCUCCCCCCACCAGAGGGCGCCAGAGCCCGCCAAGCCUCGUAGGAGAUGGCAACAGGGCCUGCUGCUGCCACCUAGCGGCCAAUUCCGGGAAUGAAUCUCGGCACGCUCAUUACCCAGCGACUCUGCCCAUCUUGACCCUUUAUGUGAAGCAGAACAGCCGCUUCCGCAGUGAGCUGUCAGAAGGCGUCGUGCCUGUCUUGCUAGUGGGGAAACUGAGGCUCAGAGAGGCAGAAGACUUGCCCAAGAUCACACCACCGGGACCCAGGAUUCAAGCGCAGGCCUGCCCAGGCUCUCUGUGGCCUCCUGGCUGCGAGGAGGCAGCCAGGGACCAGGUGCCACCCUUCUGAGACACCUGAGAUCCCAGGCCCGAGAGGAUGAAGGCGGGAUUACCUGGAGCGUGUCUGAAUGCUGGAGGAAGAAGGGCAGCUGGGAGAUGAAGCUGUCAGGAUGGGCCGCAUCCCAUUUCCUGCCUCGUUUCAGUUCAACUUUCCAACAGACCUCCCUGGCUCGUCUUGCUCUUCUCUAAUGGACAAACAAACAGGCUCAGAGAGGUGGUGUGACUUGCCCAAGGUCACUCAGCUUGGAUGCUAUGGAACAGGGACGUCCACUGUCCCAGUCUGUUUAUGGGAAGCCGCUCUGCAACUGUCCUGACCCACCACAUGCCCCACCGCUGUUUCUCUUGCCCUGACCCCUUGUUCCCUGGACCAGGGUGGCACAGCUCCAGGCUCUUGGGCCCUUCCCGAGGGCAGGCACCUGUGACUGUGUCCCCAAAGACCUGAGUGGCUGAGGGGGCCCCACAGAGCUUGGACUUCCUGGAGGACAAGGAGGGGUCUGCCAGCCACCCCCACCACGCCCGCCCCAGGGCUCCCCUGGAGCUUCCAUGCCAGCCGGACUCAGGACCCCUGUGAUCACACUGGCCCCCCCACCGGAUGACCCAGGAUAAUCCAUCUCCCUGUUUGAAGGUCGGCUGAUUAGCAACCUUCAUUCCAUCUGCCUCCUUCAUUCCCCCUGGCCAUGUAAUGGGAUUCACAGCUUCUGGGGAUUAGGACAUGGACAUCUUGUGGCGGGGGCAUAAUUCUGUCGACGACACCAAGAAACACUUGGAUGUUAAGGAUUCACCGAACACUGUUCAGGCUCCAGGUGCUGGGAGCAGCAGUGAACAAAGCCAACAGACACUGCCACCCUCAAGGAGUUCACGUUCAUGGGCGAGGGAACAGAUGAGAAACCCGGCAAUGAAAGCUCCACCAUCUCUUCCCCUAAAGGCAACCACCAUUCUGAUUUCUCUCACCAAAGACUGGAAAAAUAUCCCAAUACCUGGAUGUAUGCCUCACGUGUCCCGCUGGCCCCAGCACCCAGGUAUAGUUAGUUACUGCUGUGCCUGG